rnacentral:rRNA from 1 species
GGUUAAGCGACUAAGCGUACACGGUGGAUGCCCUGGCAGUCAGAGGCGAUGAAGGGCGUGCUAAUCUGCGAUAAGCGCCGGUAAGGUGAUAUGAACCGUUAUAACCGGCGAUACCCGAAUGGGGAAACCCAGUGUGAUUCGUCACACUAUCAUUAACUGAAUCCAUAGGUUAAUGAGGCGAACCGGGGGAACUGAAACAUCUAAGUACCCCGAGGAAAAGAAAUCAACCGAGAUUCCCCCAGUAGCGGCGAGCGAACGGGGAGGAGCCCAGAGCCUGAAUCAGCAUGUGUGUUAGUGGAAGCGUCUGGAAAGGCGCGCGAUACAGGGUGACAGCCCCGUACACAAAAGCGCAUGUGCUGUGAGCUCGAUGAGUAGGGCGGGACACGUGGUAUCCUGUCUGAAUAUGGGGGGACCAUCCUCCAAGGCUAAAUACUCCUGACUGACCGAUAGUGAACCAGUACCGUGAGGGAAAGGCGAAAAGAACCCCGGCGAGGGGAGUGAAAAAGAACCUGAAACCGUGUACGUACAAGCAGUGGGAGCACAGGUUUACCUGUGUGACUGCGUACCUUUUGUAUAAUGGGUCAGCGACUUAUAUUCUGUAGCAAGGUUAACCGAAUAGGGGAGCCGUAGGGAAACCGAGUCUUAACCGGGCGUUAAGUUGCAGGGUAUAGACCCGAAACCCGGUGAUCUAGCCAUGGGCAGGUUGAAGGUUGGGUAACACUAACUGGAGGACCGAACCGACUAAUGUUGAAAAAAUUAGCGGAUGACCUGUGGCUGGGGGUGAAAGGCCAAUCAAACCGGGAGAUAGCUGGUUCUCCCCGAAAGCUAUUUAGGUAGCGCCUCGUGAAUUCAUCUCCGGGGGUAGAGCACUGUUUCGGCUAGGGGGCCAUCCCGGCUUACCAACCCGAUGCAAACUGCGAAUACCGGAGAAUGUUAUCACGGGAGACACACGGCGGGUGCUAACGUCCGUCGUGAAGAGGGAAACAACCCAGACCGCCAGCUAAGGUCCCAAAGUCAUGGUUAAGUGGGAAACGAUGUGGGAAGGCCCAGACAGCCAGGAUGUUGGCUUAGAAGCAGCCAUCAUUUAAAGAAAGCGUAAUAGCUCACUGGUCGAGUCGGCCUGCGCGGAAGAUGUAACGGGGCUAAACCAUGCACCGAAGCUGCGGCAGCGAACGUAUCACUUAAAGCGAUUCAGCGGGUUACGAUUGACGGAGCGAAGCGACGUCAAAGCGUAUACAAAGUCGAGUCGGUUUAAGGAUACGUUCGUUGGGUAGGGGAGCGUUCUGUAAGCCUGCGAAGGUGGCCUGUGAGGGUUGCUGGAGGUAUCAGAAGUGCGAAUGCUGACAUAAGUAACGAUAAAGCGGGUGAAAAGCCCGCUCGCCGGAAGACCAAGGGUUCCUGUCCAACGUUAAUCGGGGCAGGGUGAGUCGACCCCUAAGGCGAGGCCGAAAGGCGUAGUCGAUGGGAAACGGGUUAAUAUUCCCGUACUUGGUGUUACUGCGAAGGGGGGACGGAGAAGGCUAUGUUGGCCGGGCGACGGUUGUCCCGGUUUAAGCGUGUAGGUGUGUGUUCCAGGUAAAUCCGGUUCACUUUAACACUGAGGCGUGAUGACGAGGCACUACGGUGCUGAAGCAACAAAUGCCCUGCUUCCAGGAAAAGCCUCUAAGCAUCAGGUAACAUCAAAUCGUACCCCAAACCGACACAGGUGGUCAGGUAGAGAAUACCAAGGCGCUUGAGAGAACUCGGGUGAAGGAACUAGGCAAAAUGGUGCCGUAACUUCGGGAGAAGGCACGCUGACACGUAGGUGAAGUGAUUUACUCACGGAGCUGAAGUCAGUCGAAGAUACCAGCUGGCUGCAACUGUUUAUUAAAAACACAGCACUGUGCAAACACGAAAGUGGACGUAUACGGUGUGACGCCUGCCCGGUGCCGGAAGGUUAAUUGAUGGGGUCAGCGCAAGCGAAGCUCCUGAUCGAAGCCCCGGUAAACGGCGGCCGUAACUAUAACGGUCCUAAGGUAGCGAAAUUCCUUGUCGGGUAAGUUCCGACCUGCACGAAUGGCGUAAUGAUGGCCAGGCUGUCUCCACCCGAGACUCAGUGAAAUUGAACUCGCUGUGAAGAUGCAGUGUACCCGCGGCAAGACGGAAAGACCCCGUGAACCUUUACUAUAGCUUGACACUGAACAUUGAGCCUUGAUGUGUAGGAUAGGUGGGAGGCUUUGAAGCGUGGACGCCAGUCUGCGUGGAGCCGACCUUGAAAUACCACCCUUUAAUGUUUGAUGUUCUAACGUGGACCCGUAAUCCGGGUUGCGGACAGUGUCUGGUGGGUAGUUUGACUGGGGCGGUCUCCUCCUAAAGAGUAACGGAGGAGCACGAAGGUUGGCUAAUCUCGGUCGGACAUCAGGAGGUUAGUGCAAUGGCAUAAGCCAGCUUGACUGCGAGCGUGACGGCGCGAGCAGGUGCGAAAGCAGGUCAUAGUGAUCCGGUGGUUCUGAAUGGAAGGGCCAUCGCUCAACGGAUAAAAGGUACUCCGGGGAUAACAGGCUGAUACCGCCCAAGAGUUCAUAUCGACGGCGGUGUUUGGCACCUCGAUGUCGGCUCAUCACAUCCUGGGGCUGAAGUAGGUCCCAAGGGUAUGGCUGUUCGCCAUUUAAAGUGGUACGCGAGCUGGGUUUAGAACGUCGUGAGACAGUUCGGUCCCUAUCUGCCGUGGGCGCUGGAGAACUGAGGGGGGCUGCUCCUAGUACGAGAGGACCGGAGUGGACGCAUCACUGGUGUUCGGGUUGUCAUGCCAAUGGCACUGCCCGGUAGCUAAAUGCGGAAGAGAUAAGUGCUGAAAGCAUCUAAGCACGAAACUUGCCCCGAGAUGAGUUCUCCCUGAGACUUUAGGUCUCCUGAAGGAACGUUGAAGACGACGACGUUGAUAGGCCGGGUGUGUAAGCGCAGCGAUGCGUUGAGCUAACCGGUACUAAUGAACCGUGAGGCUUAACCUU